rnacentral:lncRNA from 1 species
GCUUCUUCCUGAGCUAGAGGAUCCUUUUGUAAAUCCUGAAAUCUCCAAAAAUUUGAUGGUUUUGAAACCAGUAUCUCCUCUGAGACCCAAACCACGGAGUGCUUUAUAAUAUCUGCACACAGAUCCUGACAGGCUGCUGAAAAUGUCUCCAUUUCAUUUGAGCCUCAUGACAUGCUACUUAAACUUGCAAAAAGAUCCUUACUUAUUCAAAUAUUAUGAUGGACAGGAAUGGGGUUACAGUGACCGAACAGGAGAAAGGACUUCUGAAGUUGAGAUGCAGCAACAGAGAAGUGUGAGAUGGAACAGAAGCUAUUGGUAAUAGCAGAAAAAGAUAUGGAGCACCAUAAAGCUAUAGAGCAUGGAAAUACAGAGUUAUAGAAC